GGGAAAAGAAGUCACGCCUCAGAGUCUCAAGCCUUCAUGCGAUGGAAAGCGAGCCAGAGCGACGAGACAGUGAGCAUUGUUGAUGCCAGGCAAGAGUCGUCUAUCUGGGAUGCAAGCACACGCCACUCUCAGUGAGAUAAGUGUCUGGUUUGGUGAUUGCUGUGCUCACGGCCCACCUUGCUCCUGCUAGGGACGCCACGUUAUCUGGGACUGGGUUUGUAAGAAAUGGUUCCUGACCAGCUGUGCUUUUCAAGAGAGACAAGGUCCCCAUUUUCAGGGCCUGCUCAUUUCUCUGGCCAGGAGCGGUGUCUCCUAUGCAGCGGAAGGUUGCAUCUAGGAGGAUGGCUCCAGGUGGUGAGUUGCUUGCCUUCCUCCCAUGUCUGUCUGUCUCUCUCUUCUCUAUUGUGUUGGCCAACUUUCUCACUGUCUCUCCUCUACUCUCCUCUCCUUUCCUUGAGCCGUCUCCCUUCGUAGGACACGGGCAGGCGUGCUAGGUGUGCGUCCCCACAGGCCAGAUCUCGGGAGUCGCGGACAAAAAUCAUGGGGGCAGUGGGUGCGAGAGUGGAGCGGUGACUGUCGGUGUUAACUCGGUCUCUGUUCAUUGAACGGGGCCGAUGUAGAUGGGACUGGAGAGAGAGGCAGGGAUGAGGGCAAGAUUUCCAGCAGCAACAGAGCUCUGUGUAGUGAUGGUUCUUGCUUGGCUUUAUUAGUUCGCAGAGGAAUCGUCCAGGAGCCCUAGCCGCACAAGAAUAUGGCGGAAGUGGACCUGAGCAGCCUGGACGUCCUUCUAAGGAGACAUGAAUAGGCCUCAAGUUUCUGCCUUCUGCAUCGCUGGCUGUAAGUAAGAGUACUGAGGGAAACAAAGUCACGCGUCAGAGUCUACUCCCCUUAUGCGAUGGAAAGCAAGCGAGAGCGUCGAGACUCCGAGCAUUGUUGAUGCCACGCAAAAGCCGUCCCUCUGGGAGCCGAGGGGACUCCGCUGUCAGUGAGAUAAGUGUCUGGUUUCAUGAGGGCUCUGCUCACGCCCAACCUGAGUCCAGGUGGGGAAGCCUACUAAGUUUGGGCUGGGCUUUUAUGAUAAGGUUCCUAACUAGCUGUGGUCACGAGGGAGAAGAGGUCCCUAUUUUGAGAGGUUGCUCAUUUCUCUGGUCAGGAAUGGUGUCUCCUCCACAGCAGAAGGUUGCAUCCGGGAGGAUGACUCCACGUGCUUCGCUUCCCGGGGAAUUUUCCAAGAGCCCUAUCCUGAGGAGAAAGUGGCACUAGUGGACAUGAGCAGACGGGACAUCCUUGUCAGCAGACAUGAACAGUCCUCAGCUUUCUGACUCCCGCAUAACUGGCUGUGAGACCGAGGUAACAAAAGUCACGCCUCAGAGUCUCAAGCCCUCAUGCGAUGGAAAGCAAGCCAGAGCGACGAGACAGUGAACAUUGUUGAUACCACGCAAAAGCCGUCCAACUGGGUGGGGAACGGCCGCCACUCUCAGUGAGAUAAGUGUCUGGUUUGGUGUUGGUUGUGCUCACGGCCCACCUUGUUCCAGCUAGAGACGCCACAUUAGCUGGGGCUGGGUUUGUAAGAAAAUGUUCUUGACUAGCUGUGGUUAUGAGGGGGACCCCAUUUUCAGGGUCUGCUCAUUUCUCUGGCCAGGAGCGGUGUCUCCUACGGAGCGGAAGGUUGCAUCUAGAAGAAUGACUCCAGGUGGCGAGUUGCUUGCCUUCCUCCCAUGUCUUUCUAUCUGUCUGUCUGUCUCUCUUUCUUCUCUAGUGUGUUGGCCAACUUUCUCACUGACUCUCCUCUCCUGUCCUUAUGCCAUCUCCCUUUGUAGGACACGGGCAUGCAUGCUACGUGUGCAUCCCCACAGGCUAUGUCUCUGGAGCCAUGGAGAAGUAGGAGGGGAUGAAAAUCAUGCACAGCUGUGACUGUCGGUGUUACCGUGGUCUCUGUUCAUCGAGUGGGGCUGAAGUAGAUGGGAUUCGAGAGGGAGACCAGUAUGAGGACAAGAUUUGAAGCACCAAUAGAGGUUUGUGUAGUGAUGGCUCAUGCUUGGCUUUUGCAGCUGUGCUUCCAGAAGAAUUUUCCAGGACCCCUAUCUCGAGGAGAAACUGGGAGAAGUGGACAUGAGCAGACAUGAACACCCUUGUCAGCAGACAUGAACAGUCCUCAGCUUUCCGACUCCCGCAUAACUGGCUUACCGAGGGAAAAGAAAUCAAACGUCAGAGUUUACUCCCCUCGUUGGAUGGAAAGCGAGCGAGAGCCGUGAGCCCGCGAGCAUUGUUGAUGCAAGUCAGGAGCCGUCCACUUGGCAGUGGAGCAGUCGCUAUUGUCAGUGAAAUAAAUGUCUGGUUUGGUGAGGGCUCUGCUUAGGGCCCCCCUGGCCCCAGAUGCGGUGUGUCCUCGGCAGCGGAAGGUUGCAUCCAGGAAGAUGACUCCAGGUGGUGAGUUGCUUCCCUUCCUCACGUUUUUUUUCUCUGUCUCUCUCUUGUCUAGUGUGUUGGCCAACUUUCUCACUCUCUUUCCUCUCCUAUCCUCAUGCCGUCUCCCUUCGUAGGACCACGGGCAUCCGUGCUAGGUGUGCAUCCUAGCCAGGUCUUGGGAGCCACGGAGAAGUAGGAGCGGACGAAAACCAUGCGUGGCAGUGGGCGCUAAAG